UGUGGGUCGGGGUGUUCCUUCCUUCUUAUAGAAGUUUGCGAGAUAGGUCAAAAAAAUGAAUUCAUCUUCAACCUAGGAAGUUUGGCCUGUGAAGUUUUCAUAAAACUACUCUUAUUUACAUCUCUAUGUAAUCGUAUACCAUAUCUUCAUACCACUUUUUUAUAUUAGGUAGUAAUGCGAUUCUUGAUUAGCAACUUGAAAUUAGCAACUUGUGUCAUUUUGAUAUCCUUAGCUGAGACGCUAGUUGAUGUCGUCAUCACGCAGCAGGCACGUAAUGAUAAAAUCGUCAACAUCCGAUUCAGGAGCGGGGCAUGGCUUUUUGCGAUUAUUUUCCAAGAGAUCACAGCCAUGACUCCAUUGAGAGAUGGGAUGAGACUUCGGGCCCUGACGAUAUAUCGGAAGCGUCCCAGGAGAUAACGGAGGAUUCUUCAGACUUAUCAGACGGCCCUGAUGAAUUGUUUGACAUCAAACAGAUUUAGAAUACGUUGACGAAGAAGAAGAGUUACCUGGAACUUCACAAGCUAUGAGAGGAAAAGCAUCUUCAAAGUCACUGCUGCCAGAGAAACAGUCACCUCAUGUCUUGGUGGAUGAGUCUGGUGACAGCUCUGACGAUGAGCCAUUGGUUAAGAUGUUCAGCAAGCCUCCAACAGACUGCCAGCUGAGCGAGAGAGUGAAGGCACUGCUGAAAUACACAGACAUGGCGGAUGUGACAAUGAAGCAAAUCUACAAUAGAGUAAGAGGACAUAUAUCCAACGUUAUUAACAUUUCCAGAUCUAAUUUAAAAUCACAUGCUGCACACCAGAUUAUGUAAUCCUUCUCUCCGGAUGAUGUUAUCAAAAACACUUAUCUUCUAUCAUUUUUUACUCCAAAACAGAAAUCUGCUGUUGGGGUGGUGCUGGAGAUAUGUUAAUGUUGGGGUGGUGCUAGAUAUGAUAUGUUAAUGUUGGGGUGGUGCUAGAUAUGGUAUGUUCAUGUUGGGGUGGUGCUGGAGAUGAUGAAUUUGAUGUUGAAAAAGGGUGGAAUUGUCCUUAAAAUAUUUUUGUGUAAUCAUUAUCUUCCAUUGUGUGAUCUCUCUUAGGUGUUUGAGAGGUGCCCCCAGUAUGACCUGUCUAACAAGAAGGACAUCAUCAAGCAGACAGUGAAAGAGGGGAUCUCUUUACAACCCAGGGUUUUAAUCAAGCCAUAUUCAUAGCUUUGACAGAUAACAUUAUAAUCAAUGAUCUCAGGAAAACAUAGUUGAUAUCGUGACAAAGACUCUGGGAUUCCUGUAUAUGCCUUUCCAGGACGUUUAAUUUAUAUUUUUUUAAGUUCAGACUGUUUAAAUACUAUACAAUUUCAUGCAACUUAUUUGUUUUACUUGCCUAAGUUUUGUAAAUAAAGUAUAUAUUGUACUGUA